GGCACCAUGGCUUAGUUGGUUAAUGUGCCUGUCUUGUACAAAGGACAUCCUAGAUUUGAAUCCCUGCAGUGCUU